rnacentral:rRNA from 1 species
UACGGGGGGGGCAAGCGUUGUUCGGAAUUACUGGGCGUAAAGGGCUCGUAGGCGGCCAACUAAGUCAGACGUGAAAUCCCUCGGCUUAACCGGGGAACUGCGUCUGAUACUGGAUGGCUUGAGUUUGGGAGAGGGAUGCGGAAUUCCAGGUGUAGCGGUGAAAUGCGUAGAUAUCUGGAGGAACACCGGUGGCGAAGGCGGCUUCCUGGACCGACACUGACGCUGAGGCGCGAAAGCUAGGGGAGCAAACGGG